rnacentral:rRNA from 1 species
UACGGAGGGAGCUAGCGUUGUUCGGAAUUACUGGGCGUAAAGCGCACGUAGGCGGCUUUGUAAGUUAGAGGUGAAAGCCCGGGGCUCAACUCCGGAACUGCCUUUAAGACUGCAUCGCUUGAAUCCAGGAGAGGUGAGUGGAAUUCCGAGUGUAGAGGUGAAAUUCGUAGAUAUUCGGAAGAACACCAGUGGCGAAGGCGGCUCACUGGACUGGUAUUGACGCUGAGGUGCGAAAGUGCGGGGAGCAAACAGG